rnacentral:lncRNA from 10 species
AAAGAUAUGAUGAGCUGGCAGCAACAUGCACAAGCUUUAGCAGGGUGCUGCUUUAGCAAGUAAGCAGGAGGAAUGAGUAACAGCAUGGUACUGGUACCAAAACAGAGAUAUAGACCAAUGGAACAGAACAGAGCCCUCAGAAAUAAUACCACACAUCUACAACCAUCUGAUCUUUGACAAACCUGACAAAAAGAAGAAAUGGGGAAAGGAUUCCCUAUUUAGUAAAUGGUGAGAACUUAAAGUUCUAGGGUAAUAAUAAUAAUAAUAAUAAAAUUUUAAUAAUAAUAAUAAUAAAAUAAAAUAAAAAAUUUAAUAAUAAUAAAAAAAGACAAUACAUGCAGCGCACUGCUGAACAUAGAUGCUUAUCAGUGGUUCUGCUUUUGUCCUUUGCCCUGUGAUCUUUAUUGGACCCUUAUCAGUGGUUCUGCUUUUACCCUUUGCCCUGUCCCCUCAGAAGCAUGUGAUCUUUGUUGGACCCUUAUCAGUGGUUCUGCUUUUUGCUCUUUGAAGCAUGUGAUCUGUGUACCUACUCUCUGUUCUUACACCCCCUCCCCUUUUGAAACCCUUAAUAAAAACU